rnacentral:rRNA from 1 species
GAUGCGUUGGAGCUGCGCUUCCGAUGGUACAUGCUUCUGGCUACUACGGUGGCAGAUGGCGAAUAGACAGUGACGCCGGUAGCCAUGCUGGCGACCUUGGAGUAGCGUUGCUAGGUGGUGCUGUCUGAGUUGGUCAUUGAGGGUGCGUGCCCACCACACGACCUAUGGCUGACCUUCUCGAUGGAGGAGAAGUGCACUAAUGUUCUUCUUUCGUUAAUGAAGAUUGAGUGUUCGCGGCGUUGGAUUCAGUUUUCACAUUGGUGCAGAAAGGUUCGUGCUCAGCCAGGUGCUCUGCAGUACAAGAGAAAGCUCGUCUUCGAAGGCCUCCCUAACCAGGCCUGGAUAACGGCGUCCAUGAAAGAUGGUCUCAAGCAGCUGGGUGGCGAGCUGAUCGAAAUCCUGCCGCAGGCAAGCUGCCGCAUGCUCGAGGUAAUGGCUUGGCUUCGUGACCCUUUCUUUGCUGGCAAGGUGGUGACAGUGGAGAUACCUGAGCCGAAGCUGACAAACAAGCCACCCAACUCCAUGGAUGACUAUGAAGCAAUGCAAUUUGAAUUGGAUGACUACGAACCCUCGUUAGCGAGGAAGAAGAACAACAUGAUGUAUCCUGUCAUUUGCCACAUGAAGGAGGUUGUCGAUCGUGGUCCUCUACUUGCGGAAGGACUACCUAAUGAGUGUGCUUAA